UCAAACUUGGUCAUUUAGAGGAAGUAAAAGUCGUAACAAGGUUUCCGUAGGUGAACCUGCGGAAGGAUCAUUACUGGUAUGCCGCUGCGAUACGCGGAACCAACCCCACCUUGUGGUAUGUUUUCUGUUGCUGGGUGUGCGCGUGUGGUAACGCACUCGCGCGCACGCACACACACACAUUUCCAUUCAUCACCUUUUCUUCUUAUUUCCAUCGAGCUGACGUAACCGUCAGCCAACAACACCGAAAACUGCCAGCAAUGGAUCACUCGGUUCUCGCAUCGAUGAAGAACGCAGC
rnacentral:misc_RNA from 1 species